CAGCAUCCCGUACCCGUUUGGCACCGGAAAAGGCUGCUUUCAAGAACCCUUUAAUGUCACAUGCAAUCAGACCGGGGCGUAUCUGGCCUCAACCGAAUCGGAAGUUAGGGUACUGGAUAUCAAUCUUACCAUAGGUGAGAUUCGUGUUCUGAACCCACACAUAUCAUGGGAAUGCAACUACACCAACGGCACCAGUGGCAACGGUUCGGAUGGCUUAAGCCUUGAUGCUUUUUAUAAGGUUUCCAACACCAAGAACAAGUUGAUAUCGAUUGGUUGUGCUACACUUGGAUUGAUCUUAGGACUCACCAAGGGCAAGAACCAGCUUGAGUUCCCCAUUGUUAACACAUGCUAUUCAGUCUGCACUGACGCAAAUAGCGUGGAUGAUAGCACAAAGUGUGUUGGCAUGGGUUGCUGCCAAACUCCCUUGCCAGGAAACAUCAGCUCCUUCAGCACCAUAUCUUCAUCAUUAACAUUUACAAACUCUAAAAGCCAGCCUUUCAGCCCGUGCAGCUACUCAUUUGUCGCUGAGGAGGACUGGUUCAAGUUCGAUCGUUCAUAUGUCAGAUCUACAAAUUUCGCAAGUAAAUAUACAGAUGGGGUCCAUUUGGUACUUGAUUGGGUUGUUGGUAAUGAAAGUUGUUCGGAAGCCACCAAAAUGGGAUCACGGUAUGCCUGCAAAGACAUGAACAGUAAAUGUGUUGAUGUGUCCAACGGCCCUGGUUACCGGUGCAACUGCUCUCAAGGUUAUGAGGGCAAUCCCUACCUACAAGGAGGGUGCCAAGGUACAUAUAUGCGUCUUGCAGAAUAAACCUACUCUCUCUGUUCUAUCAGCUUUAUUUAUGGAAUGGAAUAUUCUGUUUAUCCAUGUUGACAUUCUCCUCACUUCCUUGAAAUGACAGACAUCAACGAGUGUGAACCUCCAAACCAGUCCUUGUAUCCUUGCCAAGGUAAAUGCAGCAAUACCAUUGGAAACUACACCUGUUUCUGCCCAUCAGGAUUCAGGAGUGAUGAUCCAAAGAGCAUACCCUGUGUUCCAGCUGACCCGAAGAAAGCUCUGAAGGUGGUCUUAGGUAAUUAGAUUGUUAGCAAUCAUAAUAUUUUGAACCAAUUAUACAAGUUCAAGAACAGUUUAUAUACAUGAAUAUGGCCAAGCAAUGGGCUAUAUGUUGCACUGCAUCUGGUUGAACUGAUGGUAAUUAGCUGUCAUGAUUUCCAGGCAUAUCCUUCAGUACCAUAUUCCUGAUGGUUUGUAUCUUUGCUCUACGGGCUGAGUAUCAGAAAAGGAAGCUUGCCAAAGAGAAGGACAAAUUCUUUGAUCAGAAUGGUGGUCAAAUAUUGUAUCGCCAAAUUAUGUCAAAACAAGUCGACACAUUGAAGAUAUUCACUGAAGAAGAUCUGAAGAAGGCUACAAACGAUUUUGACAAGAGCAGAGAACUUGGCAGGGGUGGUCAUGGCACUGUCUACAAGGGCAUUCUGAAGGAUAACAGGGUAGUGGCCGUGAAACGCUCAAAGAUAAUGAAUGUGGCCGAAACUGAUGAAUUCGUGCAGGAGAUUAUUAUUCUUUCACAGACCAACCACCGCAAUGUGGUCAGGCUUCUGGGGUGCUGCUUGGAGGUAGAAGUCCCCAUACUGGUCUAUGAAUUCAUUCCAAACGGCACUCUAUUUGAGUUCAUCCAUCGUAGCUAUGGGAGUCCGCCUCCGUCUUUGGACACUCGUCUCAGGGUCGCUCAAGAAUCCGCUGAAGCACUGGCGUAUCUUCAUCUGUCCAUGAACCACCCUAUAGUGCACGGGGAUGUCAAGUCUAUGAACAUUCUCUUGGACGAGAACUACAUGGCGAAGGUGACUGACUUUGGGGCAUCAAGGACACUCCCCAAGGACGCGGCCCAGUUCAUGACAUUGGUGCAGGGCACCCUGGGUUACCUGGACCCCGAGUACUUGCAGGAGCGGCAACUGACUGAGAAGAGCGACGUGUACAGUUUCGGGGUUGUGCUGCUGGAGCUGAUCACGGGGAAGACGGCCAUCUACAACGACGGGCCCAAGGAAGGCAAGAGCCUCGUGUGGUCCUUCCUACUCGCCAUGAAGGAGGAGACCCUCGAGGACAUCCUGGACCCGAGCAUCGUGCGCGUGGGGACGGAGACGCUGCUGAGAGAAGUGGCCGAGCUGGGGAGGAUGUGCUUGGGCGCCAGGGGCGAAGAGAGGCCUUCCAUGACCCAGGUGGCCGACAGGCUGAAGGCCCUGCGGAGCACCUGGAGGGAAGAGCUUGUGCUGGACCGUGCCGUGACGGAGCAUAUGGUCGUGCACAUGCCACCUGUGGAUGCUCCGAUGCCUUGGGAUCUCGCGUCGUCGUCCUCGGGUGCCCCCUCGACGGUGCCGUACAUGUCUGGAAUGGGCAUAGAGGUGCCCAGAUGAUGAAGUUUCAUGUCUGGAAUGGGCAUAGAGGUGCCCAGAUGAUGAAGUUUCAUCUGAACCUUCCUUUGGAGCAGUAUUGCCAGGAGAAAGUGUGUGCCUUAGAGGCUUAGAGCUUCAGGGUUUAUACCGUCCAGCAGAAAUGUGCAGGUAGCUGUGCUGUGUUGGAGGUACCAAGUAUGUACGUAGAAGUUGGAAUUUGUUGCGUGUUGUGUGUUCCUGUGUGGAGUUUUCCAUGACAUUUGACUUGCCAGUUUCUGUGUUCCUUUCCAGUAUGAGAAUUCGCAUGCAGUGUUGUUCAACUACUCAUUAGAAUUCGUUUUGGCAGCGAGGUUAGCUCGGCCGGCACUGCAGUAAUCAUAAUUUUGAACUGGAGUAAUCAUAAACUGCAGUCAAAGAUGGCAAUUAUACUGCAGUCUCCUAGAAAUUGUGCUCCUGCAGAUACUCCCUGUUUGAUUAAGUGAACACUGUUACUCCUCUGCUUGAAAAGAUACUCCUGUGCACUGAACACUGUUACUCCAGCAAGUUUACUGCAAGAAAAUACUCCACAUUGUUAUCUUGGCAGGAAUCUGUAUUUUUUAUCUUCAGAAAUCUGUAUUUUUUAUCUUGGCAACGCAUAAAAGGUACUGGCUGCACAUUGUUAAGUUCAGUUGGUCCUGAAAAAGUGAAAAAAUGCUGAGUGAGCCGUGCAUGAGGAGGCGCCUCUGACACUGAUCGAUCCCGGUUAAGUUCGACCGAUAGCAGAGGGUCAGGGCAAACCAUCGCAGGGGCAAAAUCGUCCGCAAGAAAAUAUGAUUGGAGGGUCCUACAGGUCGGGUAUUUUGUCAAAGGGAUGGUUAAAGGCGUGUCAUUUUGGCAAUAGAAGCAAAGUGUUUUUAUGGAACAACGACAAAAAAAAAAUGAUGCAUCAUUUUUACAACUAUGCAUGUCUAACUACUCCCUCCGUUCCUAAACAUAAGUCUUUAUAGAGAUUUCACUAGUGGACUACAUACGGAUGUAUAUAGACAUACUUUAGAGUAUAGAUUCAAUCAUUUUGCUUCGUAUGUAGACUCUUAGUGAAAUCGCUUAAAAGACUUAUAUUUAGAAACGGAGGGAGUAGUUGGAUUUUGUGUCCAUGAUGUAGGAUUUGACUUUGAAUCGUGUCAAAUCUGAGGUUUCCUUCUUUCUUUCUUUCUGUCAUACUCAACAUCGGUAGCGGUCCUGUCGAAAAUGCAGCACAUCACCUUCUUUCCCAUCACCAUUUUCAUACUUUUCGUGCAGUCAUCGGCGUCUUUCUGAUAACUUGAUGCAUAGAUAUUUUUCUUUCUCAACAACGGUUUCAGUGCAAUCAACAUGCCACAAAUGCAUAUGCUUGCAAGCAAAUAACUAGAGUAGUCCAGGCUUCAAGAACGAAAGGUACCUCAGGCCUACCUACGGUUGGUAACUACCUGUCUAACCGGAAUUGUAUUUUUGUUAAACUUUGGCCAUUAUUUGAACUACUGAGAAAGGAUUUUCUGGUGGCGCGGUUUCUACCACAGUCAUGUUAUUUUACUUAUACAGUAUGAUGUAUUUGGGCCCUUUCACUUAUUUCUCUGUUAUUCCCUUAUAGCUGCAAAAAGUCACUUUGGAGGACGAGUGCAUUGGAACCUUGUAUUUUGAAUAGUUCCAAAAUGCUAUUUUGAAGUUUUAAAAAGAUCUGAAAAUAAAUCAACAUGUUUAUAUGGAAGUAUAUUACACAUGUGCAAAUUUUGAAGUUGAAAUAAGUAGCCAUGUGAGUUAUACAAAAAUGACAAAAUCGUGAUUUUGGAAAGAUGAAUAGUGAAUGUACUAUUCACCAUUUGGAAAUCACCAUUUUGUCAUUUUUGUAUAUCUUACAUGUUUACUUAUUUCAUCAUCAAAUUCUACACAUAUGUAAUAUACAUCCAUAUGAUCACGUAGAAUUCUUUUUGCGAUUUUUUGAAACUUUAAAUGUGAGUUUUAUAGUGUUUAAAGUAAAGUCCUCCAAUACACCCGUGUUCCCAAAAUCCUCUCUGGGACUAACCCACUAUUUGAGGACAACACUUUUUUGUACUCUAUUAUUUAUUUAAACGUGGACUCAUCUAUCCACCGAUCAUUUUUAGUUGGAUUUUAAAGUUUGUAUCAUUUAUAUCCUUUGAACUAUUGAUCUGAAUUAUGAUCCGUUAGUAUAUUAGUGUUCCUACUGCUUAAUACUACUCCCUCAGUUUCAAAAUAAUUGUCUCAACUUUAUACUAACUUUAAUACAAAAUUAUACUAAGCUUAAGACACUUAUUUUGGGACAGGGGGAGUACUAUCUAAAACAAGAUCCAUCUUAGACACAUAUUGAUAAGUUUUCAAUUCAAGUUAUUAAUUCAUGAUGAAACUUAUAUGAAAUGCAAUAACAUUGAAUCCGCCUCACAAUACCUCGUGACACCGACAAGGGGGGGUUGCAGCGGGUGGUUAGAGUUUCCACCCGAGCCGCCCGAGAGAAGCGACAUUCCAAGCCAUGAUGAACAAAAACGACCUAUCAGAUAUAGUAAACUGGCACCGGUAGAAAAUAGUUUCACUUUAACUAUCUCUAUCUGUGUUUAUUUGAGAAGAAAGGUGUAACAUAUUCAGUGGUCAUAAACAGCAAAUUCCUAAAAAAAAAGGGGAAAAAUCUGAAACUUCCAGGGAUCAAUAGCCAGCUAGGAGGAGGGGUAGGGGAGAGCGGGUCUCCUNNNNNNNNNNNNNNNNNNNNNNNNNNNNNNNNNNNNNNNNNNNNNNNNNNNNNNNNNNNNNNNNNNNNNNNNNNNNNNNNNNNNNNNNNNNNNNNNNNNNNNNNNNNNNNNNNNNNNNNNNNNNNNNNNNNNNNNNNNNNNNNNNNNNNNNNNNNNNNNNNNNNNNNNNNNNNNNNNNNNNNNNNNNNNNCCUGCUGAAGGGGACUAUUCAGUCACAACAGCGUCACCAUUGAUUGAGCUUAAAUAGCAUGAUGGGAACUCGUGUCUUCUCAAAAAGCAUCGUUAAUCAUACUAGUACUAAUACUAGAAAACAAGAGUGAGCCGAUGGCCUGCUGCAGUUGAGUCAUUUUCCCCCUUCCGAGCGGAUCAGGCUGCUUGCUUCAUCUCGUCAUCUCCCAGCUGGUGCCCCUCACUCGCGCGCGACGGCUCCAACAAGAUCAUGGACUGCUCGCUGACUGCGGGUGAGAAGAAUCUCUUUUCUGGCAUGUUGGUUUUCUUUUCGUCUGUGUAUAUAUGCAUGUAUAGUUUCUUUCCCUUUUCAAAAGUUUUGCCAUGGUGUUUGCUUCUGAUCGUCGUCGUUGCUGUCCGAUUUUCAUCACCGGCCGGGAGGGAGCCAACAAGCAACGAGGCCUCAAACCUUGUCUUGAGAAUUUUUCCUCUUUCCUAAAUUAAAGCUUGCCUUGACUUGAGUUGAGAGGGGUGUCAUGAUCUUUUUCUUCUUGUUCCUACUAUCUUGGACGACCUUGUAGAAGGGGAAAUGCUAAAUGCAAACCUGAGUAGUGGGACACAACUGUUAGAAUACUUGUACGCAUGUAUGUCCAUAGAUGUAUAGAUCCACAAUUGUAGGAUCAUGGCCUGCCUGCAUGCCAGAUACCAGGCACCUCUCUCAUGGACGCGCCCGCUUCCUCCCCUGCGCUCGGUGCCGCCACCACCGACGGCUCUUCUCCGGCCCCUCUGCUCUUCACCACCCCGGCCGCCCCCGUCACCUCGGCCGCCUCUGCGGCCUCCUCCGCGACUUCCGUCGCCGCCGCCUCCCACCCCUUUGUCUUCCAGACGAACGCCUCCUCACCGGCAUCUGGCUCCGUCGCCCCUCGGUCCACCUUCGCACCCCUCUUCUCCUCCACACCUCCGGCGGCCCCUCCACCACCGCGGCAUCCCAUUUUCAAUGACCAUAUCACCAACCACAUCAAGUUUCUCCUCAAUCCUGCAGAUCACAACUAUCACAAGUGGAAGUCGUUCUUCCUCAUGGUUCUCGUCCGCUACGGCGUCACCUAUCUCCUUGAUCACCCUCCUCCACCCAACGCCGACGCUCAGUACCUUGAGCUCGACGCCCACGUCGCCUUAUGGCUCUACGCCACCCUCGCCGACUCCAUGGUAGAUCAUGUCGUUGGUGCCACCACCUCCUUCGCCAUCUGGAAGAAGAUCCAGGACUACUUCCUCUUCAAUCACGCCGCGCGUUUCAUGAUCCUCAACCGCCAGUAUCACAAUCUCAAACAGGGUGACCUUCCCGUUUCGGAGUAUGCCCGCCGCAUGAAACUCCUCAUGGAUGGCCUCGCCGACAUCGAUCACCCCGUCUCGACAAAAAUGCUGAAUAAACAUGCGUUUAUUUCUAUCCAAUGCUAGUUACUUAUCAAUUGCAUGGAUGUAAAAAUUACUUUGCCGGAAAGUGGAGCGUAGCCCCAACCAAACCGUGAAGGUCGCAGAAUUGUCGUCGACGAGGGUGAGCCAUGACCUCACCCGAGGUGGGUAGGAUUAGAUAGUGCUCGAGCUCGAGAUGGGGAACUCGUCGGACGUGAGGUAGGGGGUAGGCUGGGGGAGGAAGGGUUGAAAUCAUAAGUUGGGUGAGGAAGACAAACCAUGUCGCUUGGAUGAAAAGAAAAACAAGAACAAGAACAUGAGGGUUUGAAUCAUAUACUUGAGAGGAAGGGAGUGUAGAUAGACUAAAACGAAAAUAGUUAUUAGUCGCAUGACCCAUAGGUACUCCCUUGUUUUAUUGUAACAGUAGAAUAUUUUGCAUACAGAAAAAUAUGAUGUUCCCUAUGAUCCAUAUGGGCCCAUGUAGGUCGGCACAUCACAACUUACCUUAAAAAACCUAGCACGACAGGACCCAUGUCCAUCCUUUUUAUAAAAGGGUCGUGACAUGCUGGCUGGAAGGCCUCAGCUCGGGUAUUGGCCUGACACGUGACUUAAAAAGGGCGGCCUGUCAUGACACGUCUAUAGGCCGGCACAUCUUAUUAUGAAGGCGUAAAGAGCACUAAAAAAUGUCAAAAUAUAACCCAAAUAGCAAAUCAUUAGUUAUGGAACAAUCUCCGCAAGCUCCACUUUCACUAUCUCAAAUUAUGACAAGUGUUACACUGAAGUCUUCAUGUGCGUCACUUGUCGUAACCUGAAAGUUUUUCCUUUUUUUUAUAGAUUUGUGUAUUCGAAAAAAUUAUCUUCCAAACUGUGUAUCUAAAUCUUAAAUCAUUUUCGGUGUUGGAUUCCUCGCGUUGAGAUCUUAAUAACUAGAUCCAAUGCUGAUGAACUUUUUUUUCAUGAAAAACCGGAAUAGAAAGCCCGAACCAUAAGCACAUUUGUUUCUGUGUGCAAAUGUCACUUUCACCAUCUCGCGGAAGCAAAUCCGUCCUCUUGUGAAAAAAAAACAUAUGAAAAAGAUACGACUGUAUCUCUUGUGAAAGUAAAUUCGUGCUUUCAUGGAUAGCAAAUCUGUGCCACUCGCACAGAAAACAAAACGCAAGAGGCAUGGUCCUGCCUCUGACGGAAGGAAAAAACCGUAUUAUUUACCCUUUUCAGCUUAAGAAGGCAUUUUUUAGGCAAGCUUAGAAAAAGCCGUACCGGGCUGGUAAGGCUCGGCCUUACAAAUACGGCCCAUAUAACCAAGUUUCGGGCCCAUGCUGCGAAGUGAUCCCUACCACUCAAAAAAAAAAAAGAGAGAGUGCGAAGUGACCUCCAGCCGCCAUUGUCGCCUCGCCGGCGACAUGCCUGUCGCCGCCGAUGCAGGUCCCUGCUCCAUCUGCGCACCACCAUCAGUACGGAACCUCCCCUUCCGGCGAGUUUCCGUGGCCGGAGUUCUGUCCCCUCCUACUGGCGCCGGCGCCGGCACGUCGGAUCCGGGCAUCUGACUCUACCCGCCUCCCCCGCAGCCGCGUUCCGCAGUCGCGCCGUGCUGUGCUCAGGUCUACCAAUCAUGCCCUGUAAGGUAUGGCGAACCCUACCCCCCUGUUGGCUGUUGCUGGAGUUUGUCUUUGUCCUGUACCUUGGAUGUAAUGUGGACUCGAAGCCUUAGGAGAUUAUAUUAGGAGGAAUUAGGAAUUAGGAGCAGAGAUGUAAGCAAGAACCCAAGAUAUAUAGAUAGUUUGUCGUCUCCUGCAUUGCCGGAACUACAAAACAUUCAGUUGCAUAGAGGGGAUUUUCACUUCACUGCCUUACAUGUGAAAUCAGGGGGGCAAGUCAAGUGGGAUGGAGGUUUCACUGUGAUGGCAUGUAGGAAUCAAAUUCAUGGAGUGGCGGCGUGGAAGAAAUAGGCUGUUUUCCGAUGGCAAAUGACAGGAAAAUAUAUUACCACAUAGAAGCUGAUUUCUCACAAUUCUUUGUUUCCGAUGUCAUCAGGAAUGUGGUGUAUAAGCACAAGCAGUCAUCAGGAAUGUGAUGGUGCUACCCCCAGGCAUCCAAUGUAGUAUCAAUUUAGCUUUAUGCGUAUAGAGCCACAAACAGGCGACUAAUAUAUCUAUUAAAAAUAUAUUCUGUUCAUAUUCAUUGUGUAUUCAAGUUUUUAACAUCGCAAAGGAUAAGCAACUGAUAGAGAUAUUUCAUCCGAAAAGUUGCAUAUAAAGACCCAAAAUGUAAGGAUGUGCAAACUGAAACAAUCACUAGAAACAAGCUACCAUAAAAAGUUCUAUUUUUUGGGGAAUUUACCGUAACAAGUUCUGGAAUGAGAACUGAAGAAAAAUGGAGUCUGCAGUAAAUACUGAAUGGCGGCUUCCUUUUUAUCUACACCCAGCAUAGAUGCAUACUUUGUCAUGUUUUUCAGUACUCUUUCUUUCUUCGUCCCUAGGUUAAUUUUGAGCUUCAAUUCUUUUGUGGUUAAUAUGGACGUGAAAUCAGAGAGAACCAUAGAUAGAUAUUCAAAGUUCAUGUUUUACUUUCAAACAUGGGCUAUACCUUUGCUCUCUAAAUCUGAUUCCAAGAUUGUUGGGUCAAAGCGUUUGCAAUAGUGGACUAAACUCCUAACUAGCUACUGAUAUAUGUCAAACAAUCAGGGCUUAUAGGGAGUAUCCCCUAUUAUUUGUGUUCGGAGGAAUGACCAAACACCAUAUUCUAGAAGAAAGCAAAUAUUUGGAAUUUAUUAUAUUUUAUGCGGGGCCAAAUGAAUCAUAUCAAUUACUUGGUCGUUGCCUUACAGGACAGAAGCUCUUACUAUUUUUCACCGCCACCCUAACCCUGCAACAUAGUAAUACUGCUUAUGGGUCUGAGUCCUCUGGGAGCAUCCUCAUGGCGCGGCCUGACUGCCCAGACAAGUGUGGUAAAGUCAGCAUCCCGUACCCGUUUGGCACCGGAAAAGGCUGCUUUCAAGAACACUUUAAUGUCAUAUGCAAUGAGACCGGGGCAUAUCUGGCCUCAACCCAAGUUAGGGUACUAGAGAUCAAUCUUAUUCUUGGUGAGGUUCGUGUUCUGAACCCACGUAUAGCAUGGGAAUGCAACUACACCGACGGCACCAAUAGCAGUGAUUCCGAUGGCUUAAUCCUUGGUCCUUUUC
rnacentral:lncRNA from 1 species